rnacentral:lncRNA from 1 species
GCCCUCACGCGCCCGGCCUUUCGCCCACCUUGACCCACUUUUUCUUCCCAGGUGACAGAGAUGUGGCCAUACCGACCAUUUAAAGCGAUUCCAACUCCGGCGAAGCCUGGCUGGAAAGACGCGGCUUCCAUCCCGGCAGCCUGGAGGAGGAUCGAGCAGGGGCUGUGCCUGGGCUUGCCUGGACUUGUUCAGAGAAGGGCUGCUCCCCUCGGUAACUGCACAGAUUGGGGGCUUUGGGAGACGUUGCCAGAACCUGGAAGCCACGGCCGGGGGCUACUGGGGCCCGGGGUCUGCGCACCUGCUCGCCGUGGAGCCCAGGAGUGUGUCCAGACAAUUAACCACUGAUGGACGAAAGCAAGAGAAAUGCAUUUUCUUGCAGUUCUGGAAGCCAACGUCUGCAACACAGCAGACUCCACCCAUCUGUAGUCUCUGUGAAGGGAUCUUGCCUCAGCUUCCGAAGACUGCCUGGGUUCGUAGACGCAUCCCUCCUAGCGUAUGCUGUGUGCCUGCCUUACAUCUGUCUCCAUCUGCCUGUCCGCCAGGAUGCUUGUUACUGCGUAGGCUCCGCUGGUCUUUUAAGAUUCACCUGCACAGGCCCUGGGAUUUUUGGGGGUG